rnacentral:rRNA from 1 species
UACAGAGGGUGCAAGCGUUGUUCGGAAUCAUUGGGCGUAAAGGGCGUGUAGGCGGUUUGUUAAGUCAUGUGUGAAAUCCCUCGGCUCAACCGGGGAACGACGCAUGAAACUGACAAGCUAGAGUACCAAAGAGGGGGGUGGAAUUCCCGGUGUAGCGGUGAAAUGCGCAGAUAUCAGGAGGAACACCGGUGGCGAAGGCGGUU